UCUUGGGCCCGGCCCCCAGGGCCCAUCUCCACCGGCCCGACCCACCUCCGCCGGUGGCCCAGCCCAACUCCUCGCCAGCCUGCUGACUUCCUCCUCGACUGGGCUUGGCCCAUGGUGAGCAAGCCCGUCCUAACCCUCGCCCGUGCACGUUUUAGUAUAUGGCGCUCGAUCUAUUUUUUUUGUCUGCUAAAUCUGCCAAGUCCCUGAAAAAUCAUAUUAAGUCUGCAUAUUGUGGUGCCUGUAUCUUCAUGCAUAUAGCUCCGUUUUACGCGUGUUAUAUAUCAAAAUGUUCAUCAUGAGAUUGUCUUCAUUUCAUUACAUUGUGCCAUGCUUUUUUGAGUUCAUCUUGAAGCCCUAAUCAUCGUUGCAAGAGUGCUAUAUGAUGUUAACUGCUGUCUGUUAUCAGAACUUGGUGAUUCGUCUUUUUCAUUGCAUUUUGUGUGUGCAUCCUAUGAGAUUGAGCCCUACAUGUGUUUUGAACUACAUCAUGCCAUCUUUGCAGGGGUGCUUGUAUUGUAUUUUUAGGAUCUAUGUGGUGACUAGCACAAGCAUGCAAAGUAGCCUCCGUGAUGUUGCUGAUUUCUGUGACUUGUCAUUUCUGCAAGUCCGAGUCUGUUAUAUUUUGUUGCCAUGUAAACCUACUGUCACCAUGAGUUCUAUGCAUAAUAUGGAGAUAUUCACUAUGGAUGUUUUGUUAUACAUGUCAUGUUCUAUCUAUCCAUGCCCUUGUUUGUAUUUAUAGCCUGCUGUAGCUUGUUGCAAUCAUGCUCCAAACUUGCUAAGUAAUGUUGCUGUCAGACUGUUAACAUGAAGUUCGUUAUUGUCAUGUGUUUUGCUAGUGAUACAUGUACCCUAUGACUAUUAUAUUGCCAUGCUUUGCUUCAUAUUUGUGCCAUAUUACUAUUGGUUACCUUUUCGUGCCAUUUAUUGCUCUGUGGUGAGUGGUUCAAGCUCACCAACAUGCCUACUUAUCGUUGUUCCUGCCAUGCACUGUUAUUUUCACUGUCUGAAUCUGUCAUAUUACUGGCUAUGUUUACAUGGGUGCCAUCAUAUAUUCUGUUCAUUUUUAGGUCGUGAUCAGUAAGGGACUUUUGUUCUAUGCAAUUAGUAGAUUCAUGCCAUGCCUUUCUUUGCUAUGAUAUGUUCCUGUAGCAUGUUGUUUGAUAGCUCCAAACUUUGCAACCUGAUGUUAUUUCUGCCAUGCCCAGUGAUUUCUGCCAAGUCUGUGAAACUUUUAUUAUUUGCAAUCUUGCCAUGUCCUUUUGAGCAUGUUCUAUUGAUUUCUGGAGAUAGCUCAGUGUUCAUGUUUUGUCAUGCUUUACCUGGACAUCAUGUCCAUGCCUUUUGUUUUCAUGUUGAGGUGCUGUAGCAUACUGUUUUGAUGCUUGCUAUAUCCCUAGUUGCUGUUUUGGACAGAUUAUUGCUAUAUCUUGUUUGGAGUGUAUGUGUUGCACCGUUGCUCCGUUUUGAGCAUGCUCUAUAUGAAAACUUGCUUAGAAUUGCAUGUAGUUUCCUAUUAUCUUGUUGCAUCCUUGUUUUGAAUGUGUUUGCUUGAUUUUUGAAUGCAUUUUGCAUCAAUGCUAUGUUUAACUUGUUUUGCUCAUAUCUUCUAGGCCGUAGCUCCGAAACUAAUGAACUUUAUAUGUAACUUGACUAGAAUUUCGUGUAGAUCAUCUUGGUGCAUCUUAACUUGCUGUUUAACAUCUUGAACAUAAGGUUUAUUCAGAUCUGGACCAAUUUCGAAAUUUGCAUAUGAGGACUUACCGGAAUUUAUCUAUGUUGUUUCCAGCCUCAUUUAAACUUGCAUUGAUGUGUUCUUGUAUGCAUCAUCUCUUGCCAUGAGUAGCUUCAUGUAGCCUUGUCAUGCAUCAUACUUGGUUGAGCAUCAUGUCUUGUUUAUGUGUUGAGUGUUUACCGUGUUGUGUGCUUCUUCUCGAUAGUUCCCGUUUCGUUGCGAUCGUGAGGAUUCGUUCGUCCGCGCUUGGUUCGUCUUCGUGGCUUCAUCUUCUUCAUGGACUCGUUCUUCUUCCUAGCGGGAUUUCAGGCAAGACGACCGUCACCUUGGAUCUCACUACUAUCAUUGCUAUGCUAGUUGCUUCGUUCUAUCGCUUUGCUGCGUUACCUACCGCUUGCUUAUCAAGCCUCCCAAAUUGCCAUGAACCUCUAACCUUUGUCACCCUUCCUAGCAAAACUGUUGUUUGGCUAUGUUACCGCUUUGCUGAGUCCCUUUUAUAGCGUUGCUAGUUGCAGGUGAAGUUGAAGAUUGCUCCAUGUUGGAUUAUGUUUAUGUUGGGAUAUCACAAUAUCUCUUAUUUAAUUAAUGCAUCUAUAUACUUGGUAAAGGGUGGACGGCUCGGCCUUAUGCCUGGUGUUUUGUUCCACUCUUGCCACCCUAGUUUCCGUCAUACCAGUGUUAUGUUCCUUGAUUUUGCGUCCCUUACGCGGUUGGGUGAUUUAUGGGACUCCCUUGACAGUUCACUUUGAAUAAAACUUGUCCAGCAAGGCCAACCUUGGUUUUACCAUUUGCCUACCUAAGCCUUUUUUCCCUUGGGAGUCGCGCUCCCGAGGGUCAUCUUUAUUUUACCCCCCCGGGCCAGUGCUCCUCCGAGUGUUGGUCCAAACUAGAGCCCUUUGCAGCGCCACCUCGGGGAAACUUGAGGGCUGGUUUUAGUUGUACGGACUGCUCAUCCGGUGUGCCCCGAGAAUGAGAUAUGUGCAGCUCCUAUCGGCAUUUGUCGGCACAUUCGGGCGGCUUUGCUGGUCUUGUUUUACCAUUGUCGAAAUGUCUUGUAACCGGGAUUCCGAGACUGGUCGGGUCUUCCCGGGAGAAGGAAUAUCCUUCGUUGACCGUGAGAGCUUAUAAUGGGCUAAGUUGGGACACCCCUGCAGGGUAUUAUCUUUCGGAAUCCGUGCUCGCGGUUAUGUGGCAUAUGGGAAUUUGUUAUUGUCCGGUUGUAGAGAACUUGACACUUGACUUAAAUAAAAACGCAUCAACCGCGUGUGUAACCGUGAUGGUCUCUUUUCGGCGGAGUCCGGGAAGUGAACACGGUUUUUGGGUUAUGUUUGACGUAAGUAGGAGUUCAGGAUCACUUCUUGAUCAUUACUAGUUGACGACCGUUCCGUUGCUUCUCUUCUCGCUCUUAUUUCCGUAUGUUAGCCACCAUACAUGCUUAGUCGCUGCUGCAACCUCACCACCUAUCCUUUCCUUACCCAUUAAGCUUUGCUAGUCUUGAUACCCAUGGUAAUGGGAUUGCUGAGUCCUCAUGGCUCACAGAUUACUACAACAUCAGUUGCAAGUACAGGUUUGCGAUGAUCAUGACGCGAGAGCGAUGGUAUUUGUUUUGGAGUUCUUCUUCUGCUUCUUCUUCGAUCAGGGGAUAGGUUCCAGGUCGGCAGCCUGGGCUAGUAGGGUGGAUGUCGUUUGAGCUUCUGUUUGUGUUUCAUUCGUAGUCGGCUGUUGUUCUCAUGUAUAUUGAUGUAUUCUUGCGACAUUUGUAUGCCUUGUAUGUAUCCCCAUCUAUUAUGUAAUGUUGAUGUAAUGAUAUCCACCUUGCAAAAGCGUCUUCAAGAUGCGCUUCUAUCCUUGGUGGGACCUUCG
rnacentral:lncRNA from 1 species